rnacentral:rRNA from 1 species
AUUGAACGCUGGCGGCGUGCUUAACACAUGCAAGUCGAGCGGUAACAGGCGUAGCAAUACGUGCUGACGAGCGGCGAACGGGUGCGUAAUACAUCGGAAUCUGCCUCGUAGUGGGGAAUAACCCGGCGAAAGCCGGGCUAAUGCCGCAUACGAUCCACGGAUGAAAGCGGGGGACCGUAAGGCCUCGCGCUAUGAGAUGAGCCGAUGUCGGAUUAGCAGUUGGUGAGGUAAUGGCUCACCAAGGCGACGAUCCGUAGCUGGUCUGAGAGGACGGCCAGCCACACUGGGACUGAGACACGGCCCAGACUCCUACGGAGGCAGCAGUGGGGAAUAUUGGACAAGUGGGGAAACCCUGAUCAGCGACGCCGCGUGUGUGAAGAAGGCC